rnacentral:tRNA from 1 species
GAAGGUAUAGCUCAAAUAGUAGAGCAUAUGCUUAUUUAGCAUGCACAAAGUCCUGGGUUCAAUCCUCAGUGCCACCA